CGGGAGGGGAGGGAGGGCGGG
rnacentral:miRNA from 1 species